rnacentral:rRNA from 1 species
CACCGCGGUUACACGAGAGACCCAAGUUGAUUUCCCCCGGCGUAAAGCGUGGUUAUGAUUAAUAACUUACUAAAGUCGAAUAUUUCCAAAACUGUGAUAAGUAAUUGGAGAUAAGAAGCUCAACUACGAAAGUGACUUUACAACCCUGAAGCCACGAAAGCUAAGACA